rnacentral:rRNA from 1 species
UCGAGAAUCUUUCACAAUGGGCGCAAGCCUGAUGGAGCGACGCCGCGUGGGGGAUGAAUGGCUUCGGCCCGUAAACCCCUGUCAUUUGCGAUCAAACCUUGCUAUUUAAAAGAUGGCGAGCUGAUAGUAGCGAAAGAGGAAGGGACGGCUAACUCUGUGCCAGCAGCCGCGGUAAUACAGAGGUCCCAAGCGUUGUUCGGAUUCACUGGGCGUAAAGGGUGCGUAGGUGGUGGGGUAAGUCGGAUGUGAAAUCUCGGAGCUCAACUCCGAAAUGGCAUUGGAAACUACCCUGCUAGAGGGUCGGAGGGNGGACUGGAAUUCUCGGUGUAGCAGUGAAAUGCGUAGAUAUCGAGAGGAACACCAGUGGCGAAGGCGAGUCCCUGGACGACUCCUGACACUGAGGCACGAAAGCUAGGGGAGCAAACA